rnacentral:rRNA from 1 species
UACGAAGGGGGCUAGCGUUGUUCGGAAUCACUGGGCGUAAAGCGCACGUAGGCGGAUCUUUAAGUCAGAGGUGAAAUCCUGGAGCUCAACUCCAGAACUGCCUUUGAUACUGGGGAUCUCGAGUCCGGGAGAGGUGAGUGGAACUGCGAGUGUAGAGGUGAAAUUCGUAGAUAUUCGCAAGAACACCAGUGGCGAAGGCGGCUCACUGGCCCGGUACUGACGCUGAGGUGCGAAAGCGUGGGGAGCAAACAGG